rnacentral:lncRNA from 1 species
UUCUAAUUUUUAUUGUUGGCGUUUUUAUAUAUUAUAAAAAAAAAAAAACAACUUUUAUAAAAAAAAAAAAAAAAAGGAAAAAAAAAAAAGAGCAGUAAUACUGGGUGGUUGAUUUGUUUUUAGCAGACUUGGCUUCAUUUUUGUCUUUAAAAAAUGGCCAGCAUAAAUGCUGUUUAUAUUCACAUUUUCCUAGGUGUGUGUGUGCAGGCCACAGCAGCAUGCCCUUGGUGUAGUCAGUGCCGAAGGGGGUCUGUUCCUUCUUGAGCCUGCCCGCAGGGAUGGUCUCCUCUUUUAAAGCAGGUUGUGUACAACUUUCAGUACACUGAAGGUAAGCUAACCCAUCAACAUCACCGGUGUUUAAGCUGUUAUUUUUCUGGAACAACUGACAAAUGAGAGACAAUAGCAUUGUGGCAGAAUUCCCUGCAUGUUUGAUAAAUGAUCUUGUUUUAUUUUCUGGCAUUGCAACCGUGGCAUAGUUACAACUUCUGUUCUGUUCAUCACAUUUAAAACUUUGAGAGUGCGCACUUGAUGGAUAGAGCGCCUUCAGUGUACUGUUUCUUAUUACUUUAAUUUUUUUAAUCAACUUGCUAUAGACUUUGUAUACAUUUUGUUAAAUACAGUUCACUAUGACAUAGAACCAAUACUUACAGAAGAGUUUUCAUUUAGUAAUUACGUAUGUUGGGAUCUCAUUCGAAAGACCUUAUAUCUAAAGGAUAGAUAGACAACAUAAUGAAAUUUUUAACUAUUUGUAUGUCAUUUUGAAAGUGUACUGCUUUAUGCUAAAAGUGUUUCAUUUGUUCAUUGUUUUCAUUAUUUGUGAUCAUGUUGUCUUUCAAUACAGGCAUAAACCUUCCACUCUUGAACAAAGCAGCUGCUUUUUAAAAGCGAGAAAAAGGAAAGCGAGUCACAGGCCACUCAACGCCUACUCCAUGGGUCUGAUUUGCUGAGACACCAACUUCACCUUCCUAACAAGGUGCAGCUCAAAAGAAGAUGACGGCUACCAGAAGACAUGAACAAAGGGUAAGUGGCAUUAAACCUCUGAAGAAACUUUAUGUGUAUAUUGACCCGUACACAGAAGGCAGACCAGUCUGUGAUACCGCUGGAGAUAGAGCGAUCUUCUACAGUAUGUGUAAAAUUGUAACUCGGGCGGAGGAUGUUGGGAAGUGGCA